CCGCAGCCGUCGGGUCGCCGCGGCUUUCGCUUUGCUGCCGCGGCUGGGCUGCGUGAGGAGCGGGCUCGGCGGGCGGCUCUGCUGGCGUCCGGGUUGGGCAAUACCGAGGGGUGCUCCACGUGCAGCCUUCGCGGCCCAGGCUUCCCUGCCGUGGCGCCCGUGCUCCCGGGCUCCCUGGCUCGGCCCCUACGGCCCCGAUGCCGAGGCAUGGAUAGAGCGGUGCUGCGCGCGGCGAUGGGGGAGAAGAAGGAGGGCGGUGGCGGGGGCGCCGCGGCGGCCGCGGACGGGGCCUCAGGGGCCGCGGCCGGCCGGGCGCUGCAGCAGUGCGGGCAGCUUCAGAAGCUCAUCGACAUCUCCAUCGGCAGCCUGCGCGGGCUGCGCACCAAGUGCGCGGUGUCCAACGACCUCACCCAGCAGGAGAUCCGGACCCUGGAGGCGAGGCUGGUGCGGUAUAUCUGUAAGCAGCGGCAGUGCAAGCUUAGCGUGGCCCCUGGCGACAGAACCCCGGAGCUCAACAGUUACCCACGCUUCAGCGACUGGCUGGACACCUUCAACGUCAGGCCAGAGGUGACGCAGGAGAUCCUCCACAAGCUCAAGGGGGAUCAGCUGGAUGCCCUGCUGGAGAUGGACGAGGCCAAGGUGAAGGAGACACUGCAGCGCUGCGGUGCCAGCGCCGAGGAGUGUGGCCGCCUGCAGCAAGCCCUCACCUGCCUUCGGAAGGUGACAGGCCUGGGAGGGGAGCACAAAGAGGACUCUGGCUGGAGCUCUUCAGAUGCUCGUCGGGAAAGCAGCUCAGGGCCAUCUGUGGACACCCUGUCACCAGCCAGCCUGGCCUGGCCCCCAGGGAGCUCCCUGCUGGGCAGAGUGGGUGGUGGUGCCCAGGGCCCCCGCUCUGUCUCUGUGUCAGCUCUGCCUGCCUCGGACUCCCCGGCUCCCGGCCUCAGCGAGGGCUUCUCAGAUACCUGUAUCCCGCUGCACACCAGUGGCCGGCUGACCCCCCGAGCCCUGCACAGUUUCAUUACCCCUCCAGCCACACCUCAGCUGCGCCGCCACGCUAAGCUAAAGCCACCAAGGACACCCCCACCGCCCAGCCGCAAGGUCUUCCAGCUGCUGCCCAGCUUCCCCACGCUUACCCGGAGCAAGUCGCAUGAGUCGCAACUGGGAAACCGCAUCGACGAGGUCUCCUCGAUGAGAUUUGAUCUCUCUCGUGGAUCCCCACAGAUGGUACGAAGGGACAUUGGGCUCUCGGUGACACACAGGUUCUCUACCAAGUCCUGGCUGUCGCAGGUCUGCCAUGUGUGCCAGAAGAGCAUGAUGUUUGGAGUGAAGUGCAAGCACUGCAGGUUGAAAUGUCACAACAAGUGUACGAAGGAAGCCCCUGCCUGUAGAAUCUCCUUCCUUCCCAUAACUAGGCUGCGGAGGACAGAAUCUGUCCCCUCAGACAUCAACAACCCGGUGGACAGAGCCGCUGAACCCCAUUUCGGAACCCUCCCCAAAGCACUGACAAAGAAGGAGCACCCUCCGGUCAUGAACCACCUGGACUCCAGCAGCAACCCGUCCUCCACCACAUCCUCCACGCCCUCUUCGCCAGCGCCCUUCCCAGCAUCAUCCCACCCGUCCAGUGCCACCACACCCCCAAACCCCUCACCUGGUCAGCGGGACAGCAGGUUCAGUUUCCCAGCUGCCUACUUCAUUCAUCAUAGACAGCAGUUUAUCUUCCCAGACAUUUCAGCCUUUCCACAGGCAGCCCCGCUCCCUGAUGGCGCCGACAAUACCCGGCUUGACGACCAGCCAAAAGCUGAGGUGUUGGAGGCUCACGAGGUGGAGGCUGAGGAGCCAGAGGCUGGCAAGUCCGAGGCAGAAGAUGACGAGGAUGAGGUGGACGACUUGCCGAGCUCCCGCCGACCCUGGCGGGGCCCCAUCUCCCGCAAGACCAGCCAGACCAGCGUGUACCUGCAGGAGUGGGACAUCCCCUUUGAGCAGGUGGAACUGGGUGAGCUCAUUGGGCAGGGCCGCUGGGGCCGGGUGCACCGUGGCCGCUGGCAUGGCGAGGUGGCCAUUCGCCUGCUCGAGAUGGACGGCCACAACCAGGACCACCUGAAGCUGUUCAAGAAGGAGGUGAUGAACUACCGGCAGACACGGCACGAGAAUGUGGUGCUCUUCAUGGGCGCCUGUAUGAACCCUCCCCAUCUGGCCAUCAUCACCAGCUUCUGCAAGGGACGGACGUUGCACUCAUUUGUGAGGGACCCCAAGACGUCGCUGGACAUCAACAAGACGAGGCAGAUCGCUCAGGAGAUCAUCAAGGGCAUGGGCUACCUGCAUGCCAAGGGCAUCGUGCACAAAGAUCUCAAAUCCAAGAAUGUCUUUUACGACAAUGGCAAAGUGGUCAUCACAGACUUUGGGCUGUUUGGGAUCUCGGGUGUGGUCCGAGAGGAACGGCGUGAGAACCAGCUGAAGCUGUCCCAUGACUGGCUGUGCUACCUGGCCCCUGAGAUUGUGUGUGAGAUGACCCCUGGGAAGGAUGAGGACCAGCUGCCCUUCUCCAAAGCUGCAGAUGUCUAUGCAUUUGGGACUGUGUGGUAUGAGCUACAAGCAAGAGACUGGCCCUUUAAGCACCAGCCUGCAGAGGCCUUGAUCUGGCAGAUCGGAAGUGGGGAAGGAAUGAAGCGGGUCCUGGGCUCUGUCAGCCUGGGGAAGGAAGUCAGCGAGAUCCUGUCUGCCUGCUGGGCUUUCGAUCUGCAGGAGAGACCCAGCUUCAGCAUGCUGAUGGACAUGCUGGAGAAGCUGCCCAAGCUGAACCGGAGGCUCUCGCACCCUGGGCACUUCUGGAAGUCAGCUGAUCGCUGGCGGAGCCGCUAUUACGGGAAAGGACGUUAUGGUCACCCUGACUUUAAGAACUCCUGUCCGGUUCUGGAGGAAUAGGUCCCCUCUCUGGCCAGAGCUCAAAAGAAGAGAAUCGAGUGAGCUGAGAUGAUCAACUCCAAGAAGUCAGUAUUGACAGUUGUAGCCUGGCUGCUCUGCAUGCACCAGGAACUUUCUGCCUCCCAGCUGACAACUUGGCUCUGACUUCUACUAAAAUGCAAAGUGCCAAGUGGGCACUAACCCGGGGGAUGCCGUCUCUGCUGCUUCACUCUUCUCUCUCCAGACUUCCUGUGGUCUGGUUUUUUAAACCAGCCUCUUGCCCUCUCCACAUGGCCUGCGUGUGCCCCAGUAACUUCUGAUGGUGGAGGAUCGCACUAGCCAGGCCCCCCUGCAAUGCUGCACAGCUUCCAGCACCUCCCUGGAUGUGACUCUUCUUUCUGGCUCUUCUGAGGGAUGGGCUGGCCCAGUCUGCUGCUAACACCUUAAUAAGCUUCCUGCUGACCAUGUUCUGAGAACGGGGGCGGGGUGCUUGGCUUCUAACACCUCUAACCCAUGGGGACUUUGUCCUGCAAGGAGUGGAAUGGUUGCCGAGCUGCCUCAAGGCCAGCUCCAUGGUCCCAGGAGCCCUCUCUGGGUUCCUGUGUCUGUCUUCUCUGUAGAUGUGGGUAGUAGACACAGAAGGUCCUGUUGCCGUGAAAGACACCAGCUGAGAAGGGCUGUGUCCUCAGUGGCACAGAACAUUCGACCUCAUUCAAAGAGGUUCCUAUUCCCAAGCUUCAGUAAUGGAAACUCAGCUGCUGCCCCAAGCCUGCCCCUGCCAUGUUACUCCCUUUGCACCCGCCCUGGCUUUGUAGACUGUCAGGUCAGUAUUCAGCAUUUGUGAGCUGACAGGUCACUGCUUCUGAGUGCCCUCCCUCCAAAUUUACUGACCCCAGAUCUCUGGAAUCUGGCUUGGAAGUCACACCUCAGCCCAUCCCAGAGAACCUCCUGAUGGAGCCAAUGCUUGAGCACUUUUUUUUUUUUUUUUUUGAGGUACUGGGGAUUGAACCCAGGGGCACGCUACUACUGAACUACAUCCCCAGCCAUUUUAAUUUUUUGCUUUGAGACAGAGUUUCACUGAAUUGCUCACCCUGGCCUCAGAUUUGUGAUCCUCCUGCCUCAGCAUCUUGAGCCUCUGGAAUUACAGGUGUGCACCAGCUGAGCACCAUUUCUAAAAGGAGCAUACACCGUUACUCCUGGUGGGUGUUGGGGCUCAGGUUUUUCUUCCCCCUAGUACCGCACAGAGCAAGGACGUUCCAAGGCUGCCAGUAUGGGAACGGUUCCCACGAGCCCACAGCAGCUAGCAGUACACCCUAGGUCCUGGGAGUCAGAGGUGAAUGAGCCAUGUCACUGUCCCCCAGGAGUGGGGAGUGUGGCCAAGGCCGAGGACGCUGCCAAGAGUAGAUCUGCCGAGGCUGUGGACUGAGCAAUCAUUGUCACUUCUUGGUUUGGGCCAGGUCCCUUCGACUCUGAUCAAGAUCAACAGACCCAUAACCCCACAUUUUGUUCCUCUUCACAGCAUUAACAGCAGCAAAGUUGUACCCCGCUUUGAGAGGUUCGGCCUCGGUGCCCUGGAGUCCAGUAACCCAAAGAUGUAGCCAGCUGUGCAUUUUUUCUGCGGCCUGUCUCUUUUUAAAAUGUGUUUUUAAAACACACAAACAACCGUCACAGCAACAACAAAAAUGAAAAACCACUCCACCUGUCCAACGCUACAAACCAGGAGGGUGAGUCUUCCAUUCCGAUUGUUCAUCGCAAAGACACAUGGGUCCUGAAGAUGGAACUGUACCCGACAGCAAAUGUUUACACAUAUGUUUCUGCCAAGCGAAUUUGGUGUUUUACAAUAGGUAAUAAUAUGGUCCGUGCAUGAGGGCACAGGCACCUGGGGAUGGAAGAAGUGUCUGUCCCCUUGAAGGAUCUUAUAGCACUGAGGAGCCCAGUGCUUGGUCAGAAGGAAGAAAGACGUUGUGGUUUAAGGGUAAGGCAGGAAGAGGUGGGAGCACAAGGUUUGACUGGGCCCCUGUUUUGAUCCUAAUCCCCACCGGUGGUACACUGUCCCUUCCCUGUCUUGCAGAGAAAACCCUGCCUAGGAACUGAGGCAAAUUACAGGGGACAAGAAGUCCCGGAGACCUUGGCUUUACCUACCAACCCCACUAAUCCAGACUGUUCCCACUGGAAAAGUAGAGACAGAAUGCAAGUAAUAUCUGGACAGAUCUGGUGGUUCCUAGCCAGGGUUUCUGUUGCCAGGUGAGGAGACAUCCUUGAGCUAGUGUUUCUUGUGUGAAGCCCCGCGUCAGACCCUGGGAGCCAGGGCCUUUGCCUGACAUCUGACCCUACAGCUGGGGGCACAAUAGGCCUUAAUGAGGGAGAACAGGGAAAAGGGUGGAGGGAGAAAGGGAGAAAUGGACAGCAAGUACCUGAGCCCCUGUCCUGGCCGCAGGGUAACCCUGGCACUUUAGAAACCCAUUGUCAGUCAUGGUAGACUGUUCUAGAACUCCCCACAUCUUCCACUUCCCUGCCCUAGUGAAACCCUUUUGCCCCUUCCUGAUUCCUUAGUUCAGGCUCUAAGCUCAGCUGGAAGCAUGAGACUGUCCCACCUUGUCACCCCACCUCCUGAGCCCUAUCUGCAGAGCCCUUCCCAGCAGUGUCAGGCCUUCUGCUUGUGUCACAUGAGUAGGAGGGGCUGGAUCCAGAGAGUCUUUGAUGUGAGAGCAUCCACCUGACGCCGCCAGUAACCGUCAUCUACAGAGGAAGUUCCCAAUGGCAAAGAAGCCCACCAGUGGAGGUUAGGCUGCAGGAGACUCCACAACCAGAAAGGAAGUAGACAUGCUUGGAUCCAGGCCCUGUGCUCUGAGCUCAGAUGGGGGUGGCCGUGUGGCUGCUCCCCUUCAGUGAGAUCCACCUGGCAGAGCCCCAGUCUUCAGAGCCUUUCCUAGCAUCAGAGUCCGAUCCACAUAAGUCACAUAAAAUGAGCCACUCUGAUAAGAAGUGGUGGAGCUGCCUCUCUGCUCUCCAUGCUGAGCAGCCUUGCUCCGCACUCCCCCCACUACCCUGGUGAGCGUGGCCCACCCUUGGGUCAGGGGCUUUGAAAUCUUUCCAGUCAGCAUGGGGAGAAGAAAGAGGAGCUAUAAACCAUUUGGGUUCAGCUCUGUGAGGGUGACUUCUGUUCUAUGACAGGACUGUCAUUUUACCCCCAUGAUCCCUUUGGUCUCCCACGUCACCUCCCCAGAGUGACCUCCCCAACCCAGAGCCCUGCGAUACGUGGCCAUUGCCUCUGUAGGUAUCGAAUCCCUGCCCCUUUGUAGAGGUGGUAGCAGGGCCUGGGAUUUGGCUCAGUGGUGCCACUGCCUGCCUCACAAGCGCAAGGUCCCGAGUUCAAUCCCUGUUACCGCCCCCCGAAAUGUGCAUAGAGGUGACAGCACAUGUGACUCCAGCCUUUCACCUUCUUGUUGUGACACUGGCCUUCCCUGUCAGAUGGAUGCACCUGAACAAAUCGGGCUCACCUCCCCACCCUCAGAUCCAGGCCACAGUGGGUGAUGCACAGCCCACAGAAAGUCAGUCUGGGUUUGGCUGUGUCCCCUUAGGGCCACAGUUCAGAAAGUCCCCACUGAUCCCCUGCUGUGUACAUGGUCUUGUACAAGUGGUGGGGCCCCAGGUACAGGAAUGAUGACAUUUCCGCCUUAGGAAAUGAUUUGCUGAGGGCCUGAACUGGGCCAGGAACCAGGAGCCACUUGACUCCAAGUGUGGGGCUGAGUUACUGGGGCCCCUCCCCUGUCCUCUCCAAGGCCUGGCUUUCAGCUGGCCACUUCUGCACUGGCUGGCAUUUAAGAAGAUCCCCCACAGUACUUCCCCUUCUCCUGUUUCUAUUUAAGUGACUGUGAAUUGAGGUUAGGAAGAUGUGUUUGCCCUUCUGUGUGCUCUGCCUGUCUGCCUUGGAGACACAUGAAGGAUGACAGAUACUGUGAAUUCAGCUUUCACGGCCCACUGUGAAGGGGAGGGAGAAGGUCAGGGGCUGCAGAGGUCCCGCCUGGGCUCUGAGACUAUAGUCCGCGCUUUGGCCCUUGCACGUACCUGUAGUUCUCAACCUCACCCCAAGGCCUUUAACCACCAGGGCUGCAGCUCCCAGGCUUCUGUGUGACUCGAAGGCGUGAAUCCUAGCUAGCGCUGGGUUCAUUGUGAGCAGUGUAUUAGCAAAAUUGACCUGUCUGUGUCACCAAAUCAAAACACCCUCUGCCAUCUGGCAUUUCUUCAUGUGGUCUCAGCAGGGUGUGGCAGGCCCUGUGAGCCUGUGUUGUGCUAUAGUGACUUGGGGGUGACACCAAGGGAGGCUCCUGCCAUGCUGCAGCAUUGGCCAGGCUGUCACCUGUGUGUACACACCUACCGUCUUCUGUGGCCACGAGGCACACAUUUUGCUGUUUUUGAAUGUGAUGUAAACUUUGUACAGUAAAAGUUUUUAUAUUUUCUAUCAAUUGCAUUUGUCUUCCUCAAAUGGUAUUAAUUUAAAUUAAAAAGGUUAGUAUUAACAAACA